GCGGGUGUAACUCAGUGGUAGAGUGUCACCUUGCCAAGGUGAAAGUCGCGAGUUCAAAUCUCGUCACCCGCUCCA
rnacentral:tRNA from 1 species